GUAGGUGGCAAGCGUUGUCCGGAAUUAUUGGGCGUAAAGCGCGCGCAGGCGGCCCUUUAAGUCUGAUGUGAAAGCCCACGGGCUCAACCGUGGAGGGUCAUUGGAAACUGGGGGACUUGAGUACAGAAGAGGAAAGCGGAAUUCCAAGUGUAGCGGUGAAAUGCGUAGAGAUUUGGAGGAACACCAGUGGCGAAGGCGGCUUUCUGGUCUGUAACUGACGCUGAGGCGCGAAAGCGUGGGGAGCAAACAGGAUUAGAUACCCUGGUAGUCCACGACCGUAAACGAUGAGUGCUAAGUGUUAGGGGGUUUCCGCCCCUUAGUGCUGCAGCUAACGCAUUAAGCACUCCGCCUGGGGAGUACGGCCGCAAAGGCUGA
rnacentral:rRNA from 1 species